GACGAACGCUGGCGGCGUGCUUAACACAUGCAAGUCGAACGAAGUGGCGAACGGGUGAGUAACGCGUAAUCAACCUGCCCUUCAGAGGGGGACAACAGUUGGAAACGACUGCUAAUACCGCAUACUGAAGGAGGGGAUUGCGUCUGAUUAGCUAGUUGGAGGGGUAACGGCCCACCAAGGCGAUGAUCAGUAGCCGGUCUGGGAGGGUGAACGGGCACAUUGGGACUGAGACACGGGCCAGAAUCCUAAGGGGGGCAGCAGGGGGGAAACAUCCGCAAUGGAGGGAAGUCUGACGGAGCAACGCCGCGUGAGUGAUGGCGGCCUUCAGGUUGUAAAGCUCUGUUAAUCGGGGAGCGGUACCGGAAUAGAAAGCCACGGCUAACUACGUGCCAGCAGCCGCGGUAAUAC
rnacentral:rRNA from 1 species